CUAUCUACUGUAAGUCUGCAACCUAACAUCUUGCUUCGGCCUACUACAUGUACAAUGGUUUCAUCAGGAAUUUAACGGUGCACACCCUAUCCGUAUGUUUUAUUUCUUGGUGAUAAGAAGGUAAUGGAACGGAAUAGGAGGUAUUUCCAAGUCAAACAAUCACGCGAGGGAGUGGUAAAACAAGGAUGGACGCAUGGCAUGGUGAACUGCUUGCUUGAGGGUCGACUGCCACCAUUGAUGGAAGGAUUGCCACAUAGGCAUGGAAGCCUUGAAACAGGGAAAACUACUUUCAGAUGUUGAAGAACUUCGAGAGCAUCCGUACUCACCAAAAACCAUAUCAAAAUUAUUCAGUACAUCAUCUCAGUAUGGAAUGUCAUCUUAAAAGAUGGAACUAUAUCUUUUUUGGACGACAGUAUAGGGGAACUAGAACAUGCGGAAGCGGCCGUGAACAUAGAUGCACAGUACUGCAAGGAAGAAACAAAGGUGUACGAUCUCACCCAGGUCUCCAAGCUAUUACCCGAUAUGAAGCGCGGGCAGCCGGGCUGGACUGGAGGUUUGUGCACUGGCGGAGCUAAAGCAAGGCUUAAUGGGGCGUGGUUUGCCCAGCCCAAGGUAUUUUGUACACUAUGCAUUUACUCCUAGGCCUUUAAAUAAUAGCCCAUAAGAUAUUUUCUUUUGGUUGGCCCGCCAGCUUUGGGCUGCACGCUUGGUAUAGGUCAUUGGGUGUACUAGCAGUCUAUAGAGAGCUUGUUCUAAGGAUAUACUCUCUCCAUCCUCGAAAGUGUACUUCUAACUUUGUUGAAAAAUCAAACUUUUUUAUGUUUGACCGUAUUUAUACAACAAUACACUUACAUUUAUGCCAUCAAAGUACUAACAUUAGAUUCCCGAUAAAAUAUAUUUCCAUCAUAUACCUAUUUGGUUUCACAAACAUUGAUAUAUUUUUGCACAAACUCAGUCAAACUUUGAGAUAAUUUGAUUUCCCAAUAAAGUUGGAAGUACACUCUUUGAAGGACGAAGGGAGUAAUUUUUUGAUUGAGUCUGAUGUAAGGUAAAUAAUAAAAAUACAAUAGUACUACUAAUGACAGUCUCGGUGUUGGGAAUUUUUUUAAUCAAUAUUUACUCAAGGCAGCUAUUUCUACCGUUGAAUAAUUGCAAUUUAGCUAUGUGACACUGAUGAAUUAUAGAAAGGUUACAACCUAUACUCUUGGGGCAAAGGUUUUGGGAUCAGAUAUGGAAAAUGUGGGUCAAAUGUUCAGAGGACAAAAUGUAAUUUAGGAAAUAGUUUGUGGAUGUGUGGUGAGUUUUAUUUCAUUGCGACAUAUUUCAGCUAUGAGAGAAAUGCCAUUUUUCGAGGAACCGACACGCUCUCGGCCUUUGCAUUAAUAAGAAGAGAAUUAGCCAGUUUAUAAGGAAUACUUGUAGGCAUUAAUAGGAAGAGAAUUGGUCAGUCUAUAAGGAAUACUGGACGAAAACCGAUACAAUGAAACACACAACAGCCUUGGGACUACGUACCCAA